rnacentral:rRNA from 1 species
GACGGGUGAGUAACGCGUAGGAAUCUGCCCAUUUGAGGGGUAUACCAGUUGGAAACGACUGUUAAUACCGCAUAAUAUCUGUGGAUUAAAGGUGUCUUUCGGGCUGUCGCAGAUGGAUGAGCCUGCGUUGGAUUAGCUAGUUGGUGGGGUAAGGGCCCACCAAGGCAACGAUCCAUAGCUGAUUUGUGAGGAUGAUCCUCCACAUUGGGACUGAGACACGGCCCAAACUCCUACGCGAGGCAGC